rnacentral:lncRNA from 1 species
UGUAAAGGUCUUGAGACAUCCUAUGUUAUCACUGUGAAACAUUGUUUAAUUAGCUCCUGUUAACAUAGUCCCAUUUUAUGAUAGUUUCUGCUAAAAUUGGACCAUUUCUUUCUUGAAGGUGGUAUAUGAAAUGCUGUACUUCAUAAUAUGCUUACUUGGCACAAGAACUAGUUUGACAGAAACCAGCUGCUUUUGGAGAAUAAAGCACAAUGAAGAUGAUGAUGGAGAUUUACAGGCUGACUGUGCUUUUUACCUUUUUACGCUUCCGUCACCUUUGGAAGAAGGUUUUUGUAAAACUGUCCUGGAUUUUAGGUAAGCUGUUAGCUUCUUCAUUUUCUGGAUAAAUAUCAUAAAUUAGAAACCUGAGACU